rnacentral:piRNA from 1 species
UCAAUCUCUAUUGUCUAUCUUUAUGUC